UACGUAGGGUGCGAGCGUUGUCCGGAAUUAUUGGGCUUAAAGAGCUUGUAGGCGGUUUGUCGCGUCUGCUGUGAAAAUCCGGGGCCCAACCCCGGACUUGCAGUGGGUACGGGCAGACUAGAGUGUGGUAGGGGAGACUGGAAUUCCUGGUGUAGCGGUGAAAUGCGCAGAUAUCAGGAGGAACACCGAUGGCGAAGGCAGGUCUCUGGGCCACUACUGACGCUGAGAAGCGAAAGCAUGGAGAGCGAACAGG
rnacentral:rRNA from 1 species